AUACUGAUCUGGCAGGGAGAUACUUUGAUCAGGAAGGUGGUUUUCCUAGGGUGGGGCUUACCCAUUGCACUCAGGAUGUGCUGGCCUUUGCAAUUUCCCCAAAUGUGGGAAACUCAACUGCAUAAUUUGUGGAAGCGGGCAACCUUGUUUGUGCUCU